CGUAUAGAACCUACCUUUUACAGAGGAAUAGCCUUUAGAAAUGAAGAUUAAUGCCUCAUGGUAUUGUAGACUGGCAUCAGUUUAUAAUUAAAGAUUUAUCGGUAAAAGAUGGCUAUGCGUCCUAUUAGUUAGUUGGUAAGGUAACGGCUUACCAAGACAGCGAUAGGUAGGGGUCCUGAGAGGGAGAUCCCCCACACUGGUACUGAGACACGGACCAGACUCCUACGGGAGGCAGCAGUGAGGAAUAUUGGACAAUGGAGGAGACUCUGAUCCAGCCAUGCCGCGUGUAGGAAGAAUGCCCUAUGGGUUGUAAACUACUUUUAUACAGGAAGAACUACUGUAUGUAUACCAG
rnacentral:rRNA from 1 species